CUGCUGUGUGCAACACCCUCCGUGCCAGAUCCCCGAGAGAAAAAGGGAGGACUCCUGCAGAGAGAGCCCUCAGCAGGGGAUCCCCACUGCCUGGUGGAUCAAUGGGAUAUUGACACUGAGGAUCAGCAUGUUUUUGCAUGUGGACGCAAAUCGUCUUGCAAGAGUUGAACAUAGAACCACAACCUCAACCUUGCAGGCCUAUAACUCAUGGCCUUUGAUGAUGAUGAUGGACUUAUGUUUUAUGCCUCAAAGAUAUGUAGAAAUGAUACAUCAGCUCUGAUUUCUAGAAUAGGAAUUGUAGUCAAUGCU